rnacentral:rRNA from 1 species
UGCAGUCGAACGGCAGCGCGGGGCAACCUGGCGGCGAGUGGCGAACGGGUGAGUAAUAUAUCGGAACGUACCCUGGAGUGGGGGAUAACGUAGCGAAAGUUACGCUAAUACCGCAUACGAUCUAAGGAUGAAAGCAGGGGACCGCAAGGCCUUGUGCUCCUGGAGCGGCCGAUAUCUGAUUAGCUAGUUGGUAGGGUAAAAGCCUACCAAGGCAUCGAUCAGUAGCUGGUCUGAGAGGACGACCAGCCACACUGGAACUGAGACACGGUCCAGACUCCUACGGGAGGCAGCAGUGGGGAAUUUUGGACAAUGGGCGCAAGCCUGAUCCAGCAAUGCCGCGUGAGUGAAGAAGGCCUUCGGGUUGUAAAGCUCUUUUGUCAGGGAAGAAACGGUGGAGGCUAAUAUCCUUUGCUAAUGACGGUACCUGAAGAAUAAGCACCGGCUAACUACGUGCCAGC